UGAUGAGAAGUCUCCGGAAUCGCUGUACCACGUUGAUGAUUCCCUUGAACCCUUGUAUACCUGAUGACUGCGGCUGCAUAGAAGCAGACACUAGUUUGUC
rnacentral:snoRNA from 2 species